AGAAAGGGCACAGGGCGGAUGCCUUGGCACUAAGGGCCGAAGAAAGACGUGAUAAGCUGCGAUAAGCUUCGGGGAGGAGCAAAUAUCCAUUGAUCCGGAGAUCUCUGAAUGGGGAAACCCACAUGAGCAAACCUCAUGUAUCCAUACGCCAAUCCAUAACGUAUGGAGGGGAACCCGGGGAACUGAAACAUCUAAGUACCCGGAGGAAAAGAAAGAAAACUCGAUUCCGUAAGUAGCGGCGAGCGAACGCGGAAGAGCCUAAACCAGGUCGCGUGCGAUCUGGGGUUACGGACUGCAUUUAAGAUUCUGUGAUGUUAGUAGAACGGUUUUGGGAAAGCCGGCCGGAGAGGGUGAAAGCCCCGUACACGAAAACAGAGCAGACUGAGCAGGAUCCAGAGUACCGCGGGACACGAGAAACCCUGCGGGAAGUAAGGGGGACCACCCCCUAAGGCUAAAUACCACUUAGUGACCGAUAGCGCAUAGUACUGUGAAGGAAAGGUGAAAAGGACCCCGGGAGGGGAGUGAAAGAGAACCUGAAACCCUGUGUCUACAAGCUGUGGGAGUGCUUUAUAUGCACGACCGCGUACUUUUUGUAGAACGGUCCGGCGAGUUGCGCACACUGGCAAGGUUAAGGACUGAAGGUCCGGAGCCGUAGGGAAACCAAGUCUUAAGAGGGCCAGAGUCAGUGUGGGCAGACCCGAAACCGGGUGAUCUAUCCAUGUCCAGGUUGAAGCUGCCGUAAGAGGCAGUGGAGGACCGAACCCACAUCCGUUGAAAAGGGUGGGGAUGAGGUGUGGAUAGGGGAGAAAUUCCAAUCGAACCCGGAGAUAGCUGGUUCUCCUCGAAAUAGCUUUAGGGCUAGCCUUGGUAGAGAUUUGCGGAGGUAGAGCACUGAAUUUCCUAGGGGGCGUCAAAGCCUACCGAAGAAUAUCAAACUCCGAAUGCCGCGUAAUUGCUUACCGGGAGUCAGACUGCACGAGAUAAGUUGGGCAGUCAAAAGGGAAAGAGCCCAGACCUUCAGUUAAGGUCCCAAAGUGUACGUUAAGUGGAAAAGGAUGUGGGAUUUCGAAGACAACCAGGAUGUUGGCUCAGAAGCAGCCAUUCAUUCAAAGAGUGCGUAAUAGCUCACUGGUCGAGAGGUCCUGCGCCGAAAAUGUCCGGGGCUGAAACGUACCACCGAAACUAAGGAAUCCAGUAAUGGAUUGGUAGAGGAGCAUUGCAUGCGGGAAGAAGCAGUACCGGAAGGAGCUGUGGACUGCAUGGAAGAGAGAAUGCCGGAAUGAGUAGCGAGAUAGAGGUGAGAAUCCUCUAGGCCGAAUAUCCAAGGUUUCCAGGGUAAAGCUGAUCUGCCCUGGGUAAGUCGGGGCCUAAGGUGAGGGCGAGAGCCGUAGCCGAUGGACAACAGGUGGAGAUUCCUGUACUAUGAUAUGACAGAACUGUGGGGACACGUGCAGAGAGCGGAAGCCGGGAACGGUAUCCCGGUGCAAGCGAGGUACCAGAUGCGUUGGAAAAACCGCGCAUCAAUGGGAAGACGUGAUGCGGAAUGAAGUUUAGUAAUGAAGUCCGUGAGCUGUGCGUCAAGAAAANNNNNNNNNNUGGGAUCCCGGUGCAAGCGAGGUACCAGUCACAUUGGAAAAACCGUGUGGCAAUGGGAAGACGUGAUGCGGAGUGAAGUUUAGUAAUGAAGUCCGUGAGCUGUGCGUCAAGAAAAGCCGCUAUUGUUCAUACCAUACCCGUACCGUAAACCGACACAGGUGGAUGAGGAGAGAAUCCUAAGGCCGGCGGAAGAAGCAUUGUCAAGGAACUCGGCAAAAUGACCCCGUAACUUCGGGAGAAGGGGUGCCACUGAGAAGUGGCCGCAGAGAAUAGGCUCAAGCAACUGUUUAGCAAAAACACAGGUCUAUGCGAAACCGUAAGGUGAGGUAUAUGGGCUGACGCCUGCCCGGUGCUGGAAGGUUAAGAGGAGAGGUUAGCGGAAACGCGAAGCUUUGAAUUUAAGCCCCAGUAAACGGCGGCCGUAACUAUAACGGUCCUAAGGUAGCGAAAUUCCUUGUCGGGUAAGUUCCGACCCGCACGAAAGGCGUAAUGAUUUGAGCGCUGUCUCGACAAUGCAUCCGGUGAAAUUGAAGUACCAGUGAAGAUGCUGGUUACCUGCGCCAGGACGGAAAGACCCCAUGGAGCUUUACUCCAGUUUGGUACUGGGAUCCGGUACUGCAUGUACAGGAUAGGUGGGAGGCUAAGAAAUGGUAACGCCAGUUGCCAUGGAGCCGCUGUUGGGAUACCACCCUUGCAGUAUUGGGUUUCUAACCAGCCGCCGUGACCCGGCGGUGGGACAAUGCCAGACGGGGAGUUUGACUGGGGCGGUCGCCUCCGAAAGGGUAUCGGAGGCGCCCAAAGGUUCCCUCAGGAUGGACGGAAACCAUCCAAAGAGUGCAAAGGCAGAAGGGAGCUUGACUGCGACACCGACGGGUGGAGCAGGUACGAAAGUAGGGCUUAGUGAUCCGGUGGUAUUAAGUGGGAAUGCCAUCGCUCAACGGAUAAAAGCUACCCUGGGGAUAACAGGCUUAUCACUCCCAAGAGUUCACAUCGACGGAGUGGUUUGGCACCUCGAUGUCGGCUCAUCGCAUCCUGGGGCUGUAGUAGGUCCCAAGGGUUGGGCUGUUCGCCCAUUAAAGCGGUACGCGAGCUGGGUUCAGAACGUCGUGAGACAGUUCGGUCCCUAUCCGGCGUGGGCGUAGGAUAUCUGAGAGGAGCUGUCCUUAGUACGAGAGGACCGGGAUGGACGGGCCGCUGGUGCACCGGUUAGACUGCCAAGUCUAUAGCCGGGUAGCCAAGCCCGGAAGGGAUAAACGCUGAAGGCAUCUAAGCGUGAAGCCCCCCUCAAGAUGAGAUAUCCCAUCCGAAAGGAGUAAACCCCCUUGAAGACGACGAGGUUGAUAGGGCAGGGGUGGAAGUGUGGUAACACAUGGAGCUGACUGCUACUAAUAGGGUGAGGGC
rnacentral:rRNA from 1 species